rnacentral:rRNA from 1 species
GAGUUUGAUCGUGGCUCAGAUUGAACGCUGGCGGCAUGCUUUACACAUGCAAGUCGAACGGCAGCACAGGGAGCUUGCUCCUGGGUGGCGAGUGGCGCACGGGUGAGUAAUACAUCGGAACGUGUCCUAUCGUGGGGGAUAACUGAGCGAAAGCUCGGCUAAUACCGCAUAAGACCUGAGGGUGAAAGUGGGGGAUCGAAAGACCUCAUGCGAUUGGAGCGGCCGAUGCCCCGAUUAGCUAGUUGGUGAGGUAAAGGCUCACCAAGGCGACGAUCGGUAGCUGGUCUGAGAGGACGACCAGCCACACUGGGACUGAGACACGGCCCAGACUCCUACGGGAGGCAGCAGUGGGGAAUUUUGGACAAUGGGGGCAACCCUGAUCCAGCCAUGCCGCGUGCAGGAUGAAGGUCUUCGGAUUGUAAACUGCUUUUGUC